GUAUGCACUCUAUGUUACCCUCUCAAAGCCAUUUGAUUUCGCCGCAUCUGACAUACCUACAAUCAGGAAGUGGUGGUGCUAUCGGUUGUUGCAGGCUUUUCCUUUAACAAGUGAAAUCCCACAGCCAGUUGCCCAAGAAAAACGUCCAAAUCCAGAUGACAUGGAAGUCACUCCACCUGAGGCGGAUGUCAUUGAGAUUACCCCAACACCAAAAUUCUCUGACUCAGCGGUCAUGAGAAAUAUUCAGCUGGCCUGUGAGUGGGUGGAGGAGAACCAACGCCACUUUGCUGGGAAGAUUGAACUCCCAAAGAUUUUAAAAAUGAAGGAGGAUGAUGCCUUGCUGGCUAUCACAAUGUGUGACUUAUUUAUUAAUACAUUGUAUGAAGGUGACAUGGACGAAGAAGAAAUCCGGGCUCCUUUCUUAUUCACGUUUCAAAAACUAGAGGACAUGGAAUUUUUCUUACAGGAAAUACGAGACCAAAGAAAUAUCCGUGUGUCUUGUUUCUUCAACCCUGACUUGUAAAUAUUGUGGGAUGUUGUAAAUAUUAUGUAUGUAAAUAUCGUUUGGGUUUUGUUUUUGUAAAAUAACAUUAAAAUUCUGUGUGA